AUUGAACCCUGGCGGCAGGCCUAACACAUGCAAGUCGAGCGAGCGGCGGACGGGUGAGUAAUGUAUGGGGACUGCACGCUAGAGGGGGAUAACUACUGGAAACGGUAGCUAAUACCGCAUACUAUCGGAUAACCCAUAUGGGAUUCGCUAGUUGGUGAGGUAAUGGCGCAACAAGGGGACGAUCCCUAGCUGGUCUGAGAGGAUGAUCAGCCACAAUGGGACUGAGACACGGCCCAGACUCCUACGGAGGCAGCAGUGGGGAAUAUUGCACAAUGGGCGCAAGCCGGAUGCAGCCAUGCCGCGUGUAUGAAGAAGGCCCUAGGGUUGUAAAGUACUUUCAGUCGGGAGGCGUUACCGACAGAAGAAGCACCGGCUAACUCCGUGCCAGCAGCCGCGGUAAUUC
rnacentral:rRNA from 1 species